CAGUAGCCGCGGUAAUACGAAGGGGGCUAGCGUUGUUCGGAAUUACUGGGCGUAAAGCGCACGUAGGCGGAUAUUUAAGUCAGGGGUGAAAUCCCGCAGCUCAACUGCGGAACUGCCUUUGAUACUGGGUAUCUUGAGUAUGGAAGAGGUUAGUGGAAUUGCGAGUGUAGAGGUGAAAUUCGUAGAUAUUCGUAGGAACACCAGUGGCGAAGGCGGCUAACUGGUCCAUAACUGACGCUGAGGUGCGAAAGCGUGGGGAGCAAACAGGAUUAGAUACCCCCGUAGUCCCUGUCUCUUAUAC
rnacentral:rRNA from 1 species